rfam:Bathycoccus prasinos genomic : Mitochondrion.
AACUUUAUGAGUUUGAUCCUGGCUCAGAAUGAACGCUAGCGAUAAGCUUAACACAUGCAAGUUGAAUGUUGUCGUACAACAUGGCGUACGGGUGAGUAAGACGUAAGAAUCUACCAAAAAAUUGUGGGUCAAUCCUCAAUAUCUCGUGGACGAGUAAAGAUAUCUGGUAUCGUUUUUUGAUGAGCUUACGUAAGAUUAGAUAGUUGGUAAGGUAAAAGCUUACCAAGUCGAUGAUCUUUCAUUGGUCUUAGCGGACGACCAAUCACAUCGGGACUGAGAGACGGCCCGAACUCUUGAUGGAGGCAGCAGUGAGGAAUCUUGGACACUGGGCGCAAGCCUGAUCCAGCUAUAUCGCGUGGGUGACGAAGGUUAUAUUGAUUGUAAAACCCUUUCAUUGAAAAAAAACGGUACACCGUUUUUUGGAGACUUUGACAUGAAUCAAAGAAGAAGCUCCGGCAAAUUCUGUGCCAGCAGCCGCGGUAAGACAGGAGGAGCGAGUGUUAUUCGAAUUAAUUGGGCGUAAAGGGCAUGUAGGUGGAGAGAUGUAGUUGUUUGUGAAAGUCCAAAGGGUUUCUUUGGGUGUGCAUUCAAGACGGUUUCUUCUCUUUGAGGGUGUAAGAGGAAAAUAGAAUUUCCAGAGGAGAGGUUAAAUUCUUAGAUUUUGGAAGGAAUACCUAAUGCGAAGGCAAUUUUCUGGUGCACUCCUGACACUGAGGUGCGAAAGCGCGGGGAGCGAACAGGAUUAGAUACCCUGGUAGUCCGCGCCUUAAACGAUGCUGAUUCCUUUUUGGAAGACAAAAAAAACGUGGGUGUCGCCAAUAAGUAACACCCACACACAAACCCACUUGCACAAUCUCAGACCCACCUUCUCC